rnacentral:lncRNA from 1 species
GGUCUCCUGGGCAACGCACGCCACAUGACCGAACUUGCUGCCACCUUCGCACUGCUUCGCUGAUGGCGUCAUCGAGGGAGACUGCACAUUGCUUCUACUCGUGGAAUUCUGUUGCCUCACCGCGCCUGUCUUCCUUUGAUACCCGUGACAAGGAGAUGGAGCUGGCUUCUGCAGAUUGGUUCCAAUGUAUACGUCCUUGAGGUCUCCUGGGCAACACACGUCACAUGACCGAACUUACUGCCACCUUCUCACUGCUUCGCUGAUGGCGUCAUGGAGGGAGACUGCACAUUGCUGCUACUCGAGGAAUUCCGUUGCUUCCCAGAGUCCAUCGCUACCCGUGACAAAGACAUGAAGCUGGCUCCAGCAGACUGGUUACAAUGCCUACGUUCCUGAGGUCCUCGGGGCACCACUCGUCGUAUGUCCGAACUUAUGGCCACAUUUGCAUUGCUUUGCUGACGGCGACAUCCAGGGAGACGGGACAUGGUCACUACCUUUGCAGACGGUAGGAAAAGACUUCAUUAUUUGUA